UGGGGAAUUUUGCGCAAUGGACGAAAGUCUGACGCAGCGACGCCGCGUGGGUGAUGAAGGCCUUCGGGUUGUAAAGCCCUGUGGGGAGGGAAGAAUAAGGGUACGUAAAUAGCGUAUCUGAUGACGGUACCUCCUUAGCAAGCACCGGCUAACUCUGUGCCAGCAGCCGCGGUAAGACAGAGGGUGCAAACGUUGUUCGGAAUUACUGGGCGUAAAGCGCGUGUAGGCGGCUAGGCAAGUCGGGUGUGAAAGCCCUUGGCUCAACUGAGGAAGAGCACUCGAAACUGCAUGGCUUGAGUUCUGGAGAGGAUGGUGGAAUUCUCGGUGUAGAGGUGAAAUUCGUAGAUAUCGAGAGGAACACCAGUGGCGAAGGCGGCCAUCUGGACAGAAACUGACGCUGAGACGCGAAAGCGUGGGUAGCAAACA
rnacentral:rRNA from 1 species